AGCACUCUAAAUCCGUGCUGAAACUUUGUCAGACACCAGACCAUCAGUACUGAUGAGAUUCCCAAGGUAAGUGGGGCG
rnacentral:pre_miRNA from 1 species